CCUACGGGUGGCUGCAGUGAGGAAUAUUGGUCAAUGGGCUUAAGCCUGAACCAGCCAAGUCGCGUGAGGGAAGACUGCCCUAUGGGUUGUAAACCUCUUUUGGCAGGGAGCAAUGCCGGGCACGCGUACCCGGACUGAGAGUACCCGCAGAAAAAGCAUCGGCUAACUCCGUGCCAGCAGCCGCGGUAAUACGGAGGAUGCGAGCGUUAUCCGGAUUUAUUGGGUUUAAAGGGAGCGUAGGCGGAGGUGAAAGUCAGCGGUAAAAUUUCCGGGCUAAACCUAGUAUUGCCGUUGAAACUGGAUGUCUUGAGUGCGGCAGAAGUAUGCGGAAUGCGUGGUGUAGCGGUGAAAUGCAUAGAUAUCACGCAGAACUCCGAUUGCGAAGGCAGCAUACCGGAGUGUAACUGACGCUGAUGCACGAAAGCGUGGGUAUCGAACAGGAUUAGAUACCCUGGUAGUC
rnacentral:rRNA from 1 species